AUGGGAGCCAGAAAGAAAAUAGAAAAAACGCAAAGAAAGAUUGUCAACAGCAUCUUCAAUGGCACAGAGAGAGCAGACACAAGGAAGUCUCCUUUGAAAACAGAAAUCCAUAUAACAAAAAGGCUGACCAACAUGGCCCCAGAUGGAAGUAAAAUCAGAAAUUAUUAUCAGGAAUUAAAUUUAUCCCCAGGAAAGUCUUAUAUUCAAGGAAAGGCCUGCAUUUCUCUCCAGGGCGGUCUCAAGUUGGCUCCUGACCUCAAGUCUCCUAAACGAGUAUUCCUGUCGUAUGGACCAAGAUGUGUGAUACAGAUGCAAAUUAACUUCAAUUCCUCAAUCAGUUUUUAA
rnacentral:lncRNA from 1 species